UGCCAGCCGCCGCGGUAAUACGAAGGGGGCUAGCGUUGUUCGGAAUUACUGGGCGUAAAGGGCGCGUAGGCGGACUGGUCAGUUUGGUGUGAAAGCCCGGGGCUCAACCUCGGAACUGCACUGAAUACUGCCAGUCUAGAAUCCCGGAGGGGAGUGUGGAAUUUCUAGUGUAGAGGUGAAAUUCGUAGAUAUUAGAAAGAACACCAGUGGCGAAGGCGACACUCUGGACGGGUAUUGACGCUGAGGCGCGAAAGCGUGGGGAGCAAACAGGAUUAGAUA
rnacentral:rRNA from 1 species